UUCUUGUGGUUGCUUGUUGCAUUGGCCAGAGUUCUAAGUUUUUUCAGGUUAACAUUCAAUGAUUUGAGGAUUUUGUGAUUCUAGGAAUCACUAGAUGGAUAAGGUUGAGAAUUGUAAGGAUGCUCAGAGAGCUUCUGCUUUACAGGACUGCUGGAAAGGAUCUUGGAAUCUAUUUAAAACAACCCCCCUCCCCCCUCUCAUUUUGCAGAUGGGGAAACUAAAGCUCUGACAAAUUAGGUGACUCGCCCAAAGUCGCACAGGAUGUGAAUAAGAAAGAAGGAAAGAGAGAAGCAUUAAUAAAUACCUACUAUGUGCCAGGCAUUUUCCUUUCCAAUAUCAUCUUAUUUGAUCAUCACAAUAACCCUGGGAGGUAUGGGUUAGUAUCACCACCAUUUUUAGUUGAGGAAACAGAUAGAGGUUCCAUGACUUGCCCAGAGUUUCAUAGUUAGUAAAUGUUUAGAGCCACAUUUGAAUUCAAGUCUUCCUGAUUCUGUGCCCAGAGCUCUACCCACUGAACCACUCAGCUGCCUCUGAGCAAUAAGCAGCUGAGAAGGGAGCUUGAUCUCUGUUCUGUCCUCUGACUCUGCUACAUCCUGUUGUCUGCCCAUCGUUCCUUCAUUCCAAACUGCCUUUCAAUGCUUUCAUUUUAUAGAUGUGGAAUCUGAGACCACGAACAGUAUAAAUGCCACCUAAAGGCACUCAAGGUAACAAAUGGCAGAGCCACCUACCUUUCCAGAGAAACGAGGACAGAACAGGGAGCUCCCAGCAGAGGGAGACUCUCCAUCUUCAUGCCACAGGGAGGAGCAGAGAUAACUGCAGCUAAGUCAGAAGGAGAAGCCUCAGGACUAAGAUGUGUGAUUUGAGAGACAUCAGAAAGCUUCUGGCUUUUGGUUCUAAAAUCUCUUCCAGACCUCAAAUCUUCCAAUUUUAUGUUUGACCCUCCCGCCUGCUCCCAUUCCAUACCAUGGGAGCCAUCAAAUUUUAGGCUUUCAGACCCAAGGAUGUAAGAAAUAGUUUGCCCAAGUACAGUUAAUGAGGAGAACAACUGUGUAAUCUCAUCUUCCAGGUUAACCAUAAUUUCUCUCUACAGACUUUUUUUUAACCCCUUGUCUUUGAAUCAUUACUGUGUAUUGGUUCUUUAAAAAUUAAAUUUAUACCUCUA
rnacentral:lncRNA from 1 species